UUUUUUUUGUUUUAAUAAAAAAUAUAACCUGCUCAAUGAUUAAUUAAAUAGCCGCGGUGUAUAAUCGUGCUAAGGUAGCGUAAUAAUUUGUCUUUUAAUUAAGGUCUAGAAUGAAAGGUUGAACGAAAGGUUUACUUUCUUUACUUUAAUAUUUUGGAUUUUAUUUUUUAAUUAAAAAGUUAAAAUUUUUUUAUGGGACGAUAAGACCCUAUAGAAUUUUAUUGUUUAAGUAAUUUAAGUAAUUUAAUUAUGUAUUAUUUGUUUUAUAAAAAUAAUUUGGUUGGGGUGACUGUUAUAUUAAUUUAACUAUAUCUUAUUUAUAUCAUUAAUUUAUGAAUUAUUGAUCCUUAUGAAAGAUUAAAAGAUUAAAUUACCUUAGGGAUAACAGCGUAAUUUCUUUGGGGAGUUCAUAUCUAUAAAGAAGAUUGCGA
rnacentral:rRNA from 1 species